UAAACUUUAUUUUUGUUGUGUUACGGAAAUUUGUUGAGUAGUUUUUGUAAUUUUAGGUAAAAUUAAAAUUUGUUGUUGAUAGUUUUCGUAUCAUUAAGAUUUUUGGAAGCGAAUUAGAUUAGUACCUAAUUAGUAAAAAAUUAAAUAUCCAGGAGUAAAGUUGUAUUUAAACUGAAAGAAUAUUGGCAGAUUGUCUAAAUUAUCUUUGGAGGUUGAGUAAUAAUUGAGAACCCUCAUUAACUACUUAUUUUUUGGGCUCAUGUAUGAUCGUUUAUCUUAAACUUAAGGUUUGUGAAAUUGGAAUUUUUCCGUUAAAAUAGAUAUAUAUUUGGUUAAUGUAUAAGUUUAAUUUGACCUACAUUAUUUUGUAUUGUGGAUUAUUAAGGUAGUUUUAGUAUGAAAUUGUAAAAGACAGUAAAAAGGUUUUUAUAUCUUUUUGAAGAUUAUUUAGAAAUGGUACAA
rnacentral:rRNA from 1 species